rnacentral:lncRNA from 1 species
GCAAGUGGGCAGACAUAGUGUUGGAGUAGUAACUGAGAGAUCACAUCUUGAUCCACAAGAGUGAGGCAGAGAGAGAUAAUGUGGGAUGGUGUGUACCUUUGAAACCUCAAAGCCCUCCCCCAGUGACACACUUUUUCCAAUUAUGUCACACCCUCUAAUCCUUCCCAGAAAGUUCCACCAACUGGGACAAAGCAUUCAAAUACAUGAGCCUGUGGGAGUCAUAACCACCAAGCUCUGAGAGUGCAGACUGUCCAUGCUGGAAUAACAGAACUGGAAGAAGGCCCAAAGAUGGUAC